GCACUGCUGAGGAGUCCCAUAAUAGGACGAAACGCCCUUCCAGUGC
rnacentral:hammerhead_ribozyme from 1 species